rnacentral:rRNA from 1 species
GAUGAACGCUAGCUACAGGCUUAACACAUGCAAGUCGAGGGGCAGCAGGAUCUAGCAAUAGAUUGCUGGCGACCGGCGCACGGGUGAGUAACACGUAUCCAACCUGCCGAUAACUCGGGGAUAGCCUUUCGAAAGAAAGAUUAAUACCCGAUGGUAUAAUCAGACCGCAUGGUUUGAUUAUUAAAGAAUUUCGGUUAUCGAUGGGGAUGCGUUCCAUUAGGCAGUUGGUGAGGUAACGGCUCACCAAACCUUCGAUGGAUAGGGGUUCUGAGAGGAAGGUCCCCCACAUUGGAACUGAGACACGGUCCAAACUCCUACGGGAGGCAGCAGUGAGGAAUAUUGGUCAAUGGACGCGAGUCUGAACCAGCCAAGUAGCGUGAAGGAUGACUGCCCUAUGGGUUGUAAACUUCUUUUAUAUGGGAAUAAAGUUUUCCACGUGUGGAAUUUUGUAUGUACCAUAUGAAUAAGGAUCGGCUAACUCCGUGCCAGCAGCCGCGGUAAUACGGAGGAUCCGAGCGUUAUCCGGAUUUAUUGGGUUUAAAGGGAGCGUAGGUGGACAGUUAAGUCAGUUGUGAAAGUUUGCGGCUCAACCGUAAAAUUGCAGUUGAUACUGGCUGUCUUGAGUACAGUAGAGGUGGGCGGAAUUCGUGGUGUAGCGGUGAAAUGCUUAGAUAUCACGAAGAACUCCGAUUGCGAAGGCAGCUCACUGGACUGCAACUGACACUGAUGCUCGAAAGUGUGGGUAUCAAACAGGAUUAGAUACCCUGGUAGUCCACACAGUAAACGAUGAAUACUCGCUGUUUGCGAUAUACAGUAAGCGGCCAAGCGAAGGCAUUAAGUAUUCCACCUGGGGAGUACGCCGGCAACGGUGAAACUCAAAGGAAUUGACGGGGGCCCGCACAAGCGGAGGAACAUGUGGUUUAAUUCGAUGAUACGCGAGGAACCUUACCCGGGCUUAAAUUGCAUUUGAAUAAUCUGGAAACAGGUUAGCCGCAAGGCAAAUGUGAAGGUGCUGCAUGGUUGUCGUCAGCUCGUGCCGUGAGGUGUCGGCUUAAGUGCCAUAACGAGCGCAACCCUUAUCUUUAGUUACUAACAGGUCAUGCUGAGGACUCUAGAGAGACUGCCGUCGUAAGAUGUGAGGAAGGUGGGGAUGACGUCAAAUCAGCACGGCCCUUACGUCCGGGGCUACACACGUGUUACAAUGGGGGGUACAGAAGGCAGCUACCUGGUGACAGGAUGCUAAUCCCAAAAGCCUCUCUCAGUUCGGAUCGAAGUCUGCAACCCGACUUCGUGAAGCUGGAUUCGCUAGUAAUCGCGCAUCAGCCAUGGCGCGGUGAAUACGUUCCCGGGCCU